GCUUUUUUUGCAAGAGGUAUAGCAGCUGAUUCGUAAUCAGCAGGUCGAGGUUUCAAAUCCCUCCAACGGCU
rnacentral:tRNA from 1 species